GUUAGGGUUAUAUAGUGCGAAAAGAUUUACGCAUUAAGUACAUUAUAGCUAUGCAAUAGUGACAUUGUAAUAGUGUGAUAGUACACAUGUAUUUAAGUAACUACUAUGUAAAUACACAGUAAUUAGAGACACUUAAUGUGAAGUGUUACUCAGAUUUUCAUAGGUUGACUGGCCGCUUCCUAAUAGUGAGGUGACCUUUCGCGCGCAAUCAUUAGUUAAUAAGGCGAAAAAAGUUCCUAAUGUGAGGACCCACCCCCGAGGGAGCCCUUCACAUCAUGCAGCCAUGUGCCCUGACCUUUAUUAGCGCAUUAAUAAUGAUCUCAUGAUUCUCAGUCAGACACACUCUGCGGGGCGGGGGGGUUAAAAUCUUUACACAGCAGUCCCCGGGUUGUGCUGUGAACUGUCAGCCCGCUGUGAUUGAUGUGUGAAAUUCAAUGCAGCCGCUGUUUGGGGAGCUGUUGCAUUGAAAAAGAAUACAAUAAAUAAAAUUGCAGAUCCAGUAGCAAUAAUUACAGCUUGGAUCGUUCUUGUGAGGAACCCACGUUGAAGCAAAGCGGUUUCUUACGCGGGCUGGUAUACGCAAGAAGGCAUUGCGCGGAGUCUUACUGCAUGAUGAGACUCGCUGCUUAAACAAACCUUGCUCCAGUUGUCUUGUAAUCUGUGUUUCUGUAUUGCACUGGAGGAGCUUUGAGGUAUGUUUUCCCAAGAGAUCCAGCGGUGUAUUUAAAUAUAAUGCAAAGAUAUUGCAAGAGCCCUUUUAAUUAUAUUUCAUAUCCGGAUAAUUUCAGUUUUAAUGUUUGGGGACACCUGGAGCGAUGGUUCCAUCAUUACUUCAGUCCGCUUGCUUGCUUGUUUCGUCUGAAAGGUCGUUCUGUUAAUGCAUGAUUCAGUCUUCAUCGGCUCUUAACUAGUUUUUAAUCUGGGGUUGUUAGGGAGCUGGAAUGGCGUGCCGUCUCCAGCCAUGCCUUCCCCAGAAGAGUGCCAGUCAAUAUGUCACGUCAAUUAGGAUUUCACUGUGUGGGCUGCUAGGAGUGACAGCUCUGGAGCCAGGAGAGGGCAGCUGGAUGGCUGGGCUGUCUGGCUGCUUGAUCAGCCCUGCAAACCUGCAGCAUCUUAUUAGACUGGCUUGCAGUGCAGGGAGCAGAGAGACACUGCCUUUAAUAGGUGUGAAAUGGAAAAGCAGAACAAAUCGAGACACUGGCAAAUAACAAUAAUAAAAAGGUACUUUGCAAAUAACUUGACAAUGUAACAUGCAUUCUUUUCUAUAUAUAGGGGGGAGUAGGUGGGCUUCAUGCAAGGCAUUGUUCAAAUCUAGCAGUGAAGUGGUAUGAGUUCAGCGGUCCACACUGGGCAGCUGGGUAAUCCACAUCACAAGUGGCACUGAUUACCUUUGCAGGUCCUGUAUUCAGUAAGGAUAUGGCUGCACGUCUAUGACGUCAAAGCAGAGCAGAGAUGUGAAACGCACAGUGUGUGCUGUGUCAAGGUAAUAGCUGCGUACAGCAAGGGAAAUCGAACUAACUUCUAGCUCUGAUUUUCACUACGUGAUGCUGACCAGGAAAUAAAGUUUUGUGUUCAUUGCUGUAGCUGGGACUUCUCUCUCUCUUUUUUUUUUCUUGUAAAGUUCAUAGAAAUUGAAAUUCUGACACAUGCAAACGUCGGAGGAAUAUAGUACAUGUAUAUAAAAUGUAUAAAAGCCUGCAGGCAAUCUGCAGAACAGGCAGCAUCCACAGAACCCACCCGUAACUCGCUUAGCUUUCAAUGACAGGCUUGUAGUAGCUGUUCCCACACAGCUCUGCUAUAAUAAUGUAUGUUAUAAUAAUGUAGAAAGAUCUGCCAAAAGGACCUCUUGCACUGCUGGGAUGGAAAUACCACUCCUGUAGCAUAGCAGUUUCUCCCGUUCCAGGUUUUACUGUGAUCUUGAGUAUACCCAGUAUGUACAGGGAACAAGCUCAGGUGUGCCUUACUGAACUCGUAGUAAAACCAGGAAUGGAUCAAACUGCUGAGCAGUGGGAGUCUUAUUCCCAUCCCUGCGCUACCUUUAGUUCUUUCAUUAGUCUUUUUGUUAAUGUAGAAUUCUGAGGGAAGAGGGUGAUUUUAGAUCAAGGUGAUUAUCUUGGAAGAGCAGGGACAGGUUUGGUGGGAGCGUUUCCACUCCCUCCUGGGGAACGAGAAUGACCAGCCUCCCAUUGUGAUGCGUUGUGGCACUGAGGAGGCGAGGAAGCCUGCAUCAGCCACCCUCCUCCUGUGCAAGGAGUCUGUACCUCCUGGAAAUUUCUGAUCAGACGAAAUCUAACAAGACAAAGUGGACAGGUGGCAUUGCGUCGCAUGUUUAUUUAUUAAAGCGCGAGAGAAGGAAAGCAGAGGCCGAGAGGGAGAUGGGUAGGAUAGAAGUAGACAGGUUUAUAAUAGCUGUCACGUCUUUAAGCCUCUAACACAAUCUAGAAUAUGAAAAUAGGACAGCCACUCCAAAUUAAAAAUGACAUUAAUUUUUGCUGACAACGUGCAUCACAUUUUUCAUUUCAGGUAAAAUAGUACCCAAUUAGGUUCUGCCAAUUAGUCGUGGAAAUAACCAAUCAUGUCAAGAGUGACGGGCUCCUGGAAAGAGCUGUGCAUGUUUUCACAAGAAUAUAAAGCGAACACACCACUGCAGCACAACCAAGAUUCCUCGGGUCAUAAUUUACAACUUGUGAUACAGUGUGUGUGACAGGGUACAGCACGAUGUGAGUCACUCCAUUUACAACUUGUGAUACAGCGUGUGUGACAGGGUACAGCACGAUGUGAGUCACUCCAUUUACAACUUGUGAUACAGUGUGUGUGACAGGGUACAGCACGAUGUGAGUCAAUCCAUUUACAACUUGUGAUACAGCGUGUGUGACAGGGUACAGCACGAUGUGAGUCACUCCAUUUACAACUUGUGAUACAGCGUGUGUGACAGGGUACAGCACGAUGUGAGUCACUCCAUUCUCAGCAGUAGCUACAUUCCAAGGACUGCGUGCCUUUUAUGUGAUUAUUUCAAUUGCUGUUAAUAAUAUUAACAGACAAUAAAAUUUAGAUUUUAUUUAUUUUUUAACCAUAUCCCGUGUGACCCUUGGCCAGUUCAGUUGGCCCAAUUUGCUUUUUUUUUUUUUUUUUUUUUUACAAUGCAACACGCACGCUGCUAACUUGCAUUACAUCCCUUGUAUGAUGCAUCAGUCAUGGAUUACCUUGCAUGCAUUUCCAUUGGGCAGUGCAAGACCAGUAGUAGACCAGUCAGCCGUGUGUUUGUAUACUCUGUUGCUGUAGGUCGGUGGAUGUAGUUUGGAUCUCCGAUUCUUUUGUCAGUGUGUCAAGAUCUGGAAGCUCACUCUAAAUUCUUCAGUGUUGUCCUUCCAAGCUCUUGACCUUUGAUAUACUGACCCUCUCUGUCACAAUGGGGUGUUUACAGUGAGCUUCUACUGCAAAAAUCAGCUUCAGUGUCUUUCUUUUAAAGCUGGGGUGUGUCCUGGUUUUUUUUUUUGUUUUCCUUGUGCUCUGGUUGGUUUAUAACUUCAGCCUCUGCAUAUUGUAGUGUGGUGGAUUACUGUAUCCAACACAAACGCAUGUCUUUCUGGUAGCAGGUAUUCAGGGAAUCGUGUCGUUCUGCAGUUAUGUUGCCUAAUCCACUUGUAACAGUUUGGAUGGUAAUUAUGGUAUCAGCAAAUAGCACUGGGCCUGAGCCAAAAUACUGAAGUAGAAAAUUGAAUACAAAGGUAUGUUUUAAUGACAAGAUAAUGAAUUCAGUGGUAAUUGCAGGUAAUAAAUGCUGGCUUGUGGGUUUAGCAAUUACUAAUGCAGCAGGCAUUCGCGGUGACAAAGAUAUGUGUAAUAUAUAUUGUAAUUGCUUGAAUCCGGGCCAAACCAGCGGACUACGCCUGCACUUCAACGCCGUGCGGAAUAUCAAUAAAACGACGACGUGGGGGAGCUGUGAAAACGUCCGCGGCUUCAAGGGCCAUCGCUGCUGAUCUUAGUGUGGAGGCAUGUAGGAAGCGUUUUAUUACGGGACACUAACGCUCCACCGUUUCAAUGUCAAGCGGCUGCUGGAUUGCAAGGAGGCUAUUCAGAGAAAGCUCACACAUUUGUAAAAGUCAGGCUGUUGGCUGUUUCCAAUACUGCAGAGAGUCAAACCCUAACCGUACCCUGACCCGAAUCAGAACCCCAACACUGGAGAAAGAGGUGAGCAGGUGAGUGUCCUUAUCUCUGCUGGUAAAAAACUUGUACUUGUUAUUUAUGUGUGUGUGUGUGUGUGUGUGUGUGAUCUCUUAUCUCUCAGUUGAGAAAUGCAGUACUUGGAGUCCAAGUCAAAUUGAAAAAACACUGUGUCAGAAAUAAAUGCGCUUGCUGUGGAACCAGUUAGUAAAGUUAAUGCAGUAAACGUGCAGGGUCAAUUUAAGCAUGAUGCACGCUGAGUGAGUGUACGUGCGUCACGCUGGGUUUGCAGCAGCUCCACUGCACUAUGUGAUGUGCAAGGCUUGUGCCUCCUGGCAGGAGGAGUGUUGAUGGGUAAACCGGUGAAGUCACUCUCAAUUUCUGUAACCCAGCUGCAGCUGGAAAUCAAAUGUCAAAAUGUGUCAAUUGGAGACGUCUGAAACAUUUUGAAUUCAGGGUUAGAAAGAAUUCCUUUCAGCCGGCUUGCCCUGGCGGUUCUGCGCCAUACAGGUGUGCCCAGGACUCGGGAAUGAACCCAUAAAUAAAGAGUAAGAUCCACUGAGACACGGCUUUGAUAAAAAUACACACGAGAGCGAGAGAGAGAAUUGAUUCGGAGGAGAAAUGCUCCUGCCGGUGAAGUUUAGCUCUUUAAUCCUGUCCCUUUUUUAUCAUAAUAUCUAAGUUUAUAGUAAACCAAGAGAUGAACGUAUGCCUGUAUCUUAUAACUGUACAGUAACAAUUUUGUUCAAACUCGUCAGUGUUUGAUAUUGUAAGCUAUAGUCUAAACUCUGUUAACUGUGGGGGGUGGGUGACAACAUUUUAUUUAAAAAAAUAAAAUAAAAGGAAAGAAACAGGCAUGAAAUGGUUCAAAACAGUUUAUUUUAUUGAAUUUUUUAUUUUUUUUUUCCCCAGACAAACACAUUGACUUCUGGACCACAGUAGAGGAUGGAAACCUUUCACAAACGUUAUUUUAUUAUUAUUAUUUUUUGAAAAUACAAAUAUAAAAUUAUACUUUCCACAUCUGCGAUGUGAGAGACCCCCAUCCACAUAGUUUAUUUUACAACAGGGCUUCAGCAAGCCGCACACGAAAGACCUGAAAAGAUGCGUUCAGACGUCAGCUCAGUUAAAAAGUCCUUCAACGUUAAAAAACGGGCAAGUGCUAAGAAUGGGCAAUAAAACUUCAAAAUACAGUGUAAGAGUUUCACUGAUUUCACGAUGGCUCGAGGUACCCCCUGCAACCACAUUCAAACCAGCAGCUCUGCAAGUAACAGUCUCUCCUGUUUUUAAAUGUGCUAUUUUUACACUGCUAUAGAACGUUGCAUCACAUUACAGAGUCUUCAUAAAAGAACGUUCUUUAAUGUGGGAGCUGGAAUGGGAAUUACCUCAAGCAGUACUCGAUAUUGUGCAGGACAGCAUGUAGUGUUCAGGCGCGUGAGAAACCGUUUGAACCAUUUCAAAAACAAAGCGGUUACUUAAAGCCUUUCCUGUUGUCAGUAUGUGGCAAUGAUCAGCGCAAGCAGAGCAGUUAUUCACACUGUCACAGAGAAGUGAGGAAGGACUUUGGCUUGGCUGUGAAUUCAGGAGCGCGUGCCGCAUGUUUCAGCCCCGUGUUAAACAGCCCCACUCGCUGACAGAAGCCCACGGGUAAUUAGCAUCUGCAGUAUAUAUGUUAGUUCCCAUAAAGACAGUCUCCAAGCUUCUGUUUAUUGUCUUGCAGAGCGGUAGACUGGCCACAGCCUAGCACUUGCCUCAAGAUUCAAGUUUCUAUGUAUGCCGCAGUUGCAUUGCGCAAUGCAACAGAACACCUUUCAGGUCGUUAUUUUACCAACAAUUACCCAAUGAAUUAACUAGUCUAGCAAGAUGUGCAACAUUCAUCAGCUGUAAACUGCUGUACAGUGAAAAAUAAAAUUACACCACAGAUCCAUGCUACCUUAAAGACCAAGCUACACGCUCAAAUAAAAACAACUAUUACAAAUAAUAAUAAUUACUAUUAAAUACCAAUAAAUAAAGGGCAUGGACUAUUUAAAAGACAAGCUGGUCUUGAUUUUAAUCAAACCAGAGAGGAGAGAGGAGAGAUCUGAAGGCACUUCAUUUCCUAAAUCUGAUCACAUUUACCACGGUUUUACAGUGUUCAGGAAACAGGACUCUUCUUACCGCUCUGGGAAGAAUAUUUGAGGAACGACGGGGAAGCGACUUGGAGGUCUCGAGACUGAAUGAACAAACAGUGCACUGAAAAGGGUAAGCAGACAAUAUUUUAACAACGAGAACCACUUGUGAUCACAAAACGUGCUGUCCUGAUAAGCUAACUGAAAUGCCCCAGCGUGCUCGGUUAUAAAAAAGGGACUGAGAGUCAGAAAGCAAGUCAAGCAGAGACUUUACUUGAAUUAGUGUGAGGGAAGUGGUCGGGGAUAAGGUAGUAACAUACUGCUGUUGCGUGUUGGCUCGAACUCUCUCGGGAGUUUGAAAAAACUUUUAAUAACAGUAGUGCCUGCAAAAACAUCCUCUCCACCCCUCGCCCCUCCAACCACAGAUGCAUCUGAAAGAGCAAGAAGCCUGUUUGAUAUAAAAUGAAGAUCCUGGCGUCAAGUACAAAAACCAGUCACAAAAUCUUUAAAAUGACGUUUUCAGAUGAGUGGGGAAUAAAUUAAUCUAGGCAGACAUUUAAAAA